AUUGAACGCUGGCGGCAGGCCUAACACAUGCAAGUCGAACGGUAACAGGAAGAAGCUUGCUUCUUUGCUGUCGAGUGGCGGACGGGUGAGUCAUGUCUGGGAAACUGCUUGAAGGAGGGGGAUAAUUCCUGGAAACGGUAGCUAAUACCGCAUAAUUUCGCAAGACCAAAGAGGGGGACCUUCGGGCCUCUUGCCAUCGGAUGUGCCCAGAUGGGAUUAGCUAGUAGGUGGGGUAACGGCUCACCUAGGCGACGAUCCCUAGCUGGUCUGAGAGGAUGACCAGCCACACUGGAACUGAGACACGGUCCAGACUCCUACGGGAGGCAGCAGUGGGGAAUAUUGCACAAUGGGCGCAAGCCUGAUGCAGCUAUGCCGCGUGUAUGAAGAAGGCCUUCGGGUUGUAAAGUACUUUCAGCGGGGAGGAAGGGAGUAAAGUUAAUACCUUUACUCAUUGACGUUACCCGAAGAAGAAGCACCGGCUAACUCCGUG
rnacentral:rRNA from 1 species